UGGGGAAUAUUGCGCAAUGGGCGAAAGCCUGACGCAGCAACGCCGCGUGGGUGAUGAAGGCCUUCGGGUCGUAAAGCCCUGUCGGAGGGAACGAAUGAUCCUGAGGUUAACAGCCUCGGGAAGUGACGGUAUCCACAGAAGAAGCCCCGGCCAACUACGUGCCAGCAGCCGCGGUAAUACGUAGGGGGCAAGCGUUGUCCGGAUUUAUUGGGCGUAAAGGGCUCGUAGGCGGCUUAGCAAGUCGGUCGUGAAAUACCGGGGCUCAACCCCGGGAUGCCGAUCGAAACUGCUAUAGCUUGGGUCCGGUAGAGGAGAAUGGAAUUCCCGGUGUAGCGGUGAAAUGCGUAGAUAUCAAGAGGAACGCCGGUGGCGAAAGCGACUCUCUGGACCGUUCCUGACACUGAGGCGCGAAAGCUAGGGGAGCAAACAGGAUUAGAUACCCUGGUAGUCCUAGCUGUAAACGAUGGGCACUGGGUAGGGGGCGUCUGAUGCGUUCCCUGCCGAAGCUAAUGUAUUAAGUGCCCCGCCUGGGGAGUAUGGUCGCAAGGCUA
rnacentral:rRNA from 1 species